CCUACGGGAGGCAGCAGUGAGGAAUAUUGGUCAAUGGGCGCAAGCCUGAACCAGCCAAGUAGCGUGAAGGAUGACUGCCCUACGGGUUGUAAACUUCUUUUGUCAGGGAAUAACGUGAGUCACGUGUGCCUUUUUGUGUGUACUUGAUGAAUAAGGAUCGGCUAACUCCGUGCCAGCAGCCGCGGUAAUACGGAGGAUCCGAGCGUUAUCCGGAUUUAUUGGGUUUAAAGGGAACGUAGAUGGUGUGUUAAGUCAGUUGUGAAAGUUUGCGGCUCAACCGUAAAAUUGCAAUUGAUACUGGCAGUCUUGAGUACAGUUGAGGUAGGCGGAAUUCGUGGUGUAGCGGUGAAAUGCUUAGAUAUCACGAAGAACUCCGAUUGCGAAGGCAGCUUACUAAACUGCAACUGACAUUGAUGCUCGAAAGUGUGGGUAUCAAACAGGAUUAGAUACCCUUGUAGUC
rnacentral:rRNA from 1 species